AUUGAACGCUGGCGGAAUGCUUUACACAUGCAAGUCGAACGGCAGCACGGGGGCAACCCUGGUGGCGAGCGGCGAACGGGUGAGUAAUACAUCGGAACGUGCCCAGUCGUGGGGGAUAACGUAGCGAAAGUUACGCUAAUACCGCAUACGAUCUACGGAUGAAAGCGGGGGACCGUAAGGCCUCGCGCGAUUGGAGCGGCCGAUGUCAGAUUAGGUAGUUGGUGAGGUAAAGGCUCACCAAGCCGACGAUCUGUAGCUGGUCUGAGAGGACGACCAGCCACACUGGGACUGAGACACGGCCCAGACUCCUACGGGAGGCAGCAGUGGGGAAUUUUGGACAAUGGGCGCAAGCCUGAUCCAGCCAUUCCGCGUGCAGGACGAAGGCCUUCGGGUUGUAAACUGCUUUGGUACGGAACGAAAAGGCUCUGGUUAAUACCUGGGGCUCAUGACGGUACCGUAAGAAUAAGCACCGGCUAACUACGUGCCAGCCGCCGCCCGUAA
rnacentral:rRNA from 1 species